CAGAGAGACAGACAGGUAGAGACAGAGAGACAGGUAAAGAACGAAAGAGAGACAGACAGGUAGAGAGACAGAGAGGCAGACAGGUAGAGACAGAGAGACAGACAGGUAGAGACAGAGAGACAGGUAAAGAACGAAAGAGAGACAGACAGGUAGAGAGACAGAGAGACAGACAGGUAGAGACAGAGAGACAGACAGGUAGAGACAGAGAGACAGGUAAAGAAUGAAAGAGCGACAGACAGGUAGAGACAGAGAGACAGGUAAAGAACGAAAGAGAGACAGACAGGUAGAGAGACAGAGAGACAGACAGGUAGAGACAGAGAGACAGACAGGUAGAGACAGAGAGACAGGUAAAUAAUGAAAGAGAGACAGACAGGUUGAGACAGAGAGACAGGUAAAGAACGAAAGAGAGACAGACAGGUAGAGAGACAGAGAGACAGACAGGUAGAGACAGAGAGACAGACAGGUAGAGACAGAGAGACAGGUAAAGAACGAAAGAGAGACAGACAGGUAGAGACAGGUAAAGAACGAAAGAGAGACAGACAGGUAGAGACAGAGAGACAGACAGGUAGAGACACGUAAAGAACGAAAGAGAGACAGACAGGUAGAGACAGAGAGACAGACAGACAAACAGGGAGAGAGACAGACA